rnacentral:rRNA from 1 species
CCCUUUCCAUUCCGAACAGGGAAGUUAAGCCCGUUUGCGCCGAUGGUACUGCCACACCAGGUGGGAGAGUAGGUCGCCGCCUUCC